UUCUAAUAUGGCAGAUUAGUGCAAUGGAUUUAAACCCCAUAUAUAAAGUUUACUCUUUUUUUAGAA
rnacentral:tRNA from 1 species